CCCUCCCUGCAGACGCUGCUGGGGCUGGUGCUGGUGCUGCGCCUGCCCUGGGUGGUCGGCACCGGCGGGGUCCUGCAGGCCGGCGCCAUCGGCCUCCUGCUGGGCGCCUGCGCGGCUGUCCCCUGGGGCUGCUGUCGGGGGCGCUGGGCCCCGAGGCAGGCGGGGCCGUGGGGCUGUGCGCCUUCCUCAGCGCCGCCUUCGCCGCCGCUGCCGCCGCCCUGGGCGCGGCCGAGAUCCUGCUGGUGUACGUGGCCCCCCAGGCCGCUGUCCUGCCCGGGCGGGGCCGUGGGGCACGGCUGAACAACGGGCGUGGCUACGGGGCGGGGCUGCUAGCCCUGCUGGGUCUGGGGGCCGCUGCCCGCCACGCUGCCCGCGUGACACCCCUGGGCCCCGCCGGGCUGCUGCUGGCCCUGCUGGGGCUGCAGGCGGGGGCCCUGCGCGCCGCCCUGCCGGGGGGCAACGCCCACACUCUCUGCCUGCCCCCCCAGCCCGGCGGCCGCCUCCAGCCCUGCCCCACGGCCCGGCCCCACGGCGGGGGGGACGGCAAUGG